GAAUCCGGAGAGGGGUGCUGAGCCAAUAGGCGACGCUGAGAUUAUACCCGUACAACCUGAUGCAGGUAAUGCUGCCGGAGGGAAUAUACGUAGAUUUUUUAU
rnacentral:ncRNA from 1 species